ACCACUGUACGUCUGGUAACCUCAAUCCCUGCAACCGGAGCAAAAUGUGAUUCCAGGUCUUGGCAACCUCUGAAAUUCCAACUCCAUUUGCGAGAGCUUUGAGGAGGCCAUAUGCUGAUUUCACCACAAGCAACUUCACAACCCAGUACUGGAAUGCCAUCAGCCAGCAGGCCCCUGCCAUUAUCUGUGACUUCUAUCUGUGGCUCAUUGGAAGGAAACCCAGACAAGGCCAAGCUGGCUGAAAGAGCAACCAGCCACCUCUGCAAUCUGCCACCUCCUGCUGGCAGGAUUUGUUUUUGCAUCCUGUGAAGAGCCAAGGAGGCACCAGGGCAUAAGUCUACUCACUUAUAUCUGUUUGUCUGGAACAUAACCCAUGUUUGUUUUUACAACAAAUAAAAUUGAUCUUGAA
ensembl:lncRNA novel transcript